UGUUCAUUCCAGGAAGCGUGUUUCUCCUUUACUGUGUCCUCAGUGUCUAACUGUGUUAUAUCUUAACUCUGUCAGGGGUCUCACUCUUCUACUCAUUCUACAACUCCAGUGAGUAUCCUUAUGAUCAUUGCUUUAAAUUCUGUAUCAGGUACGUUACUUAUAUCUCUUUGGCUUAGAUCUCUGGCUGUGGCUUUGACCAGGUCUUUCAUUGUGGAUAAACAUCUCUGUGUGUCCAUUUUGUCUGUCUCUCUGGCUCUAUUUCUCUGUGCUAAGAAAGUCGCUGUGCCUUUUGAUCUUGAAAUUAAUGCCGUUAUGAAAAAGAGGUCCUGGAGUCCUCAGCAGUGCACGUCUCCAUUUAUAGGACCUGGACCUUCAGGAGGAUAUCGUAUGGGUAUUGCUCACUCCAUGCUGUUGUGUCUGGGUUACUUUUCCUUUCAGUGCAGGGGUCUGCACUGAUUGCGUGUCUGUUGUGGGCUCUGCUUGCUCUCAGUGGUGUCAGUGGGACCCAGGCAGGCCAGCUGAGUCAAGAAUCAGCAUGAAUACAUGUGUCUCCUGUGGCCUAAGCAUUGUGUGAAAUGCCAUGUUUACGUUGCGUCUCUACACAGGCAGGGACCUGGCUAUCACUCAUCCUUCUGGAUCACCCGGUGCUGGGUCAGCUGACCUCCAAAGCGCCAGGAUCUAAACUCAAGGGAAUUCAGCCUCUCUGGGUUUUAAUGCCAAAUGUUAUGGAGAUUAGUCUUCCCUGUGUCAGCUCCCCCGUGUGAGGGCUUUCUCUGCUCCUUCUUCAGGCAGCCAGCCUCCAACUUUCUGACCUUCCUAACCUUCCUGCUGCAGCUUCUAUUUAGGUGUGGAGUUUGUUGUGCCAGUCUUGGAUCCCUCUCUGGUUCAUGGACUUGGAUGUGGAUGUUAUGCAGUUGAAAACAUGGGACAGCGUGAGCUCAGGGUCUGCUUAGUCUGCUAUUAUUAAUUUUUUAAGUGUAUUAUUUUGGAUUUUUGAGACAUGGGCAGACAGACUCAUCUCACCCAUGCACUUCAGGAUUAGAAAGGAACGUUCCCACAUUUGCUUCUAGUAUUUUGUGCUUUGAAACUCUCUUUAAUGAGGUAUAAUUUACAUAUAACAAAGAGCCUCAAAUUAAAGGGUAUAAUUUGAUGAGACUUGAUCUCAUGGAUACAGCACCAUGAAGUCAUAUGGUUGCUCUCUAAACCUUAAUCAUGAUCCCUUUGUGUCUAGAGCUAAUGUUGCUUUUGGAGUAAGGACUUGUUUUGUUUUGUUUUUUUUUUACGUUUUCAGAUAUCGACCAGGUGGCUGAAGGCCUGCACUAGGGUACCUACCUCCUUUUCGGAUAGACUGUAUUCCCGUAAGUAUUGCCGUCGCUCUACCUUUGGACUUUAUCCUGCGUUGUAUCUUUCAGUCUGUUCACUUAAUUUUGUUGGAGUACUUUAGUGCUGAGGGAUGCAUAAUUGGAUUGAUUUUCACUAAAUGGUAUGAGCUGCAGUUCCAAUCGUGACAGAAAGCACAUGUUUCCUGUGUUAGGUACUCAAGAGCAAGGCAGAUACCCUGGGCACUUGAGCUGAGUAUGUCACUCAGUGUUUUGCCAGCCCUCUUCCCUUCCGUGGGAGACAAGGGUCUCGUUUUGGUCACACAGAAAUGUAGGUGAAGUCAGCAGAGAAGGGUCCCUUCUCUUCUCUUCCAUUUGUCUCUCAAACUCCCUGUCACUACCUUCUGCCUGGCCCUUUCCCUGACUCAAUCCCCCAACCCACUGCUCCACUCCAGCCAUGAUCAGGGUGUCCUCCAGCUGCUGGCCUCGGCUCUAGCCAUCGCUCAGUGAGGAAACUACAGGAGGAUUAUGUAGUCCAUGGGUCUGAUCAAGAAAUCUCUGCUCCUCAGAGUCCUCCUACACUUGGUGCUGUCUGUGGAGACCUGGCAUCCUGGGCGUGGGUCUGACCCUCACUCCUCUACCACAGUCACUGCUGGUCCCUCAUCCUUCUCCACCAUUAGAACUCAGCCAUUUCCUAAGGGCAGAUACCUGUCUGACCCCAAGGCACCAUGGAGUCAGGGAAUAUUUCGAAAAUAAUUGAGCAUAAGCACCCCAUCAAUCUAGAUAUAGGUAGUUCCCAUCACCCCGGAAAACUCCCUCAGGCUCCCCUGCACAACGGGUGAUCUUGCUUCUAUCACACUAUUCCACAGAGGAACCCCACUGUGUGCACUCAAUGGGGAGCGAGAGUAGAUGGCCCUAGAAGCAGACGCUGACACAGAGACAAAAUGAUGAAAGGUAGAUUAAGGGACAGUAGGAAGGACAAAGUGGAGGGGACAGGAUGGGAAGGGAAAGCAUUCAGGUAGAUCUGACACCUUCUUAAAAUGUAUAUACAAACACGAUUGUCUGUCACCGUGCACAGUCCUCUUCAAAUUUCAAAAGAGUUGUCCUAUAAGGCAAAGAGAUUUUGGUUUAUUCCCCUGUGAUCUUAUGUUUUCCUACAUGCAUUCUGUCUUCUGUAGUUUAUGUGGCCUCAGAUGAACAUUUUAGUGUGUGGCUGCAUCUGUGAGAUUAUGUGUAAUAGAAAAUGAUUGUCUUCAGAUCUAGGUCUCUGAAUGUACACAUUUUCAUAAUUAUCUUUUCUUUCAUUGUGUGACAGGGCCCGAAUUCUAAUAGAAAAACGAGGGACAUUGUCUUAUUUUUUAAAACAGUGAUUCCCACUCCCUGGGCUGAGUUGUUAACAGUCUUAGUUUAAUGAACUCCCGUGACCAUCUUUUUUGGAGGAUCAUUGUGUGGAGAGAAGUUAAUGGAAACUGUGAGAAGCGUGAGGGGACCCUUCCCAGAGAUUUUGGAGACGCUUUAUGUACUGAAUGCGUUCUUUUUCUCUUGUUCUUAGAAACAAAUAUUACCCCUGUUUUCACAGAUAACACAGCUGUCAUAAUAUUGUGAGAGAAGUUUGAGGAGAUGCAAAGCUGUAGUCAGGGUGAUGACAGGGGUCCAGCAGUGGUGUCAUCUGGCCAGCCCUGAAUUGUAGGAUGACUCAGCUGAUCUAGACCCUGUCUCCACUUUUAGUCUCUUGAGGGAUAUGAACUUGGGCAUACAGCAUUUUCAUAAGACCAAGUUAAAUACCCCAUAUAUCCAGGGCUCUUUUCCCCCCACAAAUAUCCAGAACCUUCAGGAAAAUCCAGGGAGACGAGGAUCUUUUUAGGUGAUUACCUGCGUGCACUUUGCACUGAGAGCUAUCCCACAUAGCAGUUCCAUAUGGACCUCACACUCCCUGCUCAGGCUGUGGCCGGAAUGACCUCCAACUGCAUCUCCCUGACCCCAACACCCUCCCCUCUGCACCUCCUCAAACUCUGCUUACUGUGCUCAACUUCCCUUCUAUUCCUGUAUGAUUCAAGGCUCCCCCGGUUUUGCCCUGGAUCCUCACUGGUGUUUCCAUGUUGGUGAUCACAAGGUCUGCAUCGUUUAAUGAAUGUCCCUCUGUCACACAGGACACCUGAUGCUCUAAAAGUUAGGGGUGCACCUCAUUCAUUACAGAACCCAACACAUUGUGUCUCCAACAUAUGCCCCAGUACUGCUGAUACGUCUGCUUUUGUGUAAAAACUCCUCUUUCAUUUGACAAGAGAAACGUAUAGCUCACUGUAUUACAGGGACAUGCCACUGCCCAUUGUAUGUAUGUCCUGAGAAACUUGAGAUAUGCUACAGUGUCCUCAGGCAGUUUGUAGUUGGAUUGCCAAGACUCACAACUAUCUCUACAUCAUUGCCACAAAGUCAAUCAUGAAGAAGAUGAAUAUACUUUACCAGCCACUCAGCCAGUUCAGGUCAUCUUAACAAAUAGAGUAGGUGGAGGAGGGGGAUGUGGCCUAUAGCCCAUGACUGGUGGUGAAGGGUGGUCCACAGGGUACAGCCUGCAAGGCAAUGCUGGGAAAGGACCAGGACUCUUGCAUACAAAAUAGCCUGCGGAAAAGAAAUGAGAGGUAUGUUCAUAGGACAGAACAGAGCACCAACACCAGCAAAAAGCAGAAACCCAAAGCAGCAGUGCUCAUAUCCUACUAGCUUCCCCACCACCAGGUUCCAAGAGGGCAACAUCAGCGCCAAAAUCUUUACCCAUACUUUGGGUUCCACUUACAGCUUUGGGUGGGGAAUGGAUGUGAUUGGGAUAAACUAGUGUCGCCACGUGUCUGGAAACGUAGAAACAGCAAGGGCCCUUUUUCUACAAGAUUUAUAGACUGAAUACCAAAUUUAAAAAGUAGCAUAUUCCAGAUAGGAAGACAUCUGUGUCCAGGAUCACUCUCCCCCCUUCAUCCCCCUCACCACAAGGGCUGUUUAUUGUGUAUAUGAAGAACUACAGAAUGAGAAGGAAUGACAAUACCAGUGUCCACACAUGGAAUCAUAGCCCUCAUGGCUCAAAGCUCUGCCUCUAAGCCCCUGCCUGUGCCCAAUCUACUUCUGUCCCGACAAUGGGGUCUCCUCCUCUCUGGAAGUGCUAUCCAUGGGCACAGAGACACAUGGGGAGAUGGGGAUCCUGAGGACCUGCAGAGGACCUGGGAAAGUGUGCUCUUAGAGAAACAGGUAACCUAUACAUGUUAGUUGGGUUCAGCUAAGUUAUUUUACUUCAGAGGUACUUCUCAGCUUAAGUGCAGUACACUUUGCAGGGUAAUUGUGUCCUCUGGAAAAAUGAGCUGAAAUUCUAAAAGACAAAAUUAACACAAAUGCACUUUGAUGUCUGGUGUAAGUUUCCAUGUUUUAGCUGUACCUGUGACACAGGACACGAGAGAACGUGCUCAUGUGAACACAAGUGAAGGACACCGUGGGGACUUGCCACACAGAUAUUUGUGCCCAGGGCACACCUGAAGGGACUCUGGACAGCAUGUUUACCAAAAUGCUGAUGGGUAUGAAAUUUACAUUCUAAAGGACACAUACAAAAAUAUGAGUUGGAGUGAAUGCAGUUCGCAUUUUCAAAUUGUAACGAUACCCACAGAUUUUUCUGAGCGCGUUAAAAUCCUCAAUAGAAGGAAACAGGAGAGGAAGACACAGCAAGAGCAAUGAUUCCACAUUGAGGAGAUCCACAAAGAAUGAGGCAAGGUAGGAGAUUUCCAAGUGGAGUGUGGUGUCAUCCUCCUUGAUUUAUUCCAGGAACACAUUAGAAAAGCCCUAUGGUCCCCACCUUUAGGCACUCUUAGCUGCUCAAGUUACCACAAACAGAUGCCAGCUGGGAAACAGGGAAGCCCGUAGACUCGGCAGUAAAGGUUUUGCAUUUGGGAAACAAAAACAAAAACAAAAACAGCAGACAGACCAUACGACACACAAACCAGAGACAAUGGCAAGAGAGUGUCCUGUACAGAAAGAUGUGGCGGUCCGUAAAGACUUAGAACUGAAAAUGGCCACAGCAUUUACUUUGUGCUUCUCAGCAGUUUUGGCAGAGCCAGUGUCGACGUCACUCUUGGUUGUGAUACCUACUUCUGGACCUGCAAAAAAUCCUGGAAGGGAUGCAGGUUUAUUCUGAUUUGAGUAGACUGUUUGGAGGUCAAAAACAAAACAAAAAACCCUCCCCUGAUACUUCCGACAACUUAAACUCUUUGCCCCAGUGAGAUCCCAAAUUACAUGCACAGGGUGUCCCACAUGCCUCUGGUGAUACCCAAAAAGAACUUGAAGAACCAUCCCUUAUAACUUGAUGAAGACUCCUAAAAGCCCUGACUCAGAUGUAUUUACUCAUCGAACAACUAUGGAUGGCUGGGGGCAAAACUAGAUGGACGUACGUUACAUUGUGCCUCAUGCCUCACAGAUCCCAGCAAGUGGACUGUGUACAGGGCAUUUCUGCUGAAGCGCUAUGUCUGAUUGUCUGCAUACGGCCCCAUUCCUUCUCUACAAGAGAUGCCUGUACCAACCCAUGGUGGGGGAAAAGACGAAGAUGAGAUCCUCAGCAACUUGAGGAAUGUGGUAAUGGCAGCAGACACAUUCCCCCCCUCCUUGCAUCACAAUGGUCUGUGGUACCGCCUCUGCACCUUGGCCCAAGACCUAACAGCAACAAAAUAAGGGUUGCAAAGACGAGGGCCAUGAAAUGGCACUACCACGUUGAUGGUUAUGAUUCAUUGUACGACACAGUGCUUUCCUACAGAUGAUGACAAUUGACACCACCCCCGAGGAAUGUUAGGAUGGAGAAAGUUUCCACACAGUCUGGUCAUUACUUGAGAUCUGCAAAUGUUUAGAAACUUAAUUGUUUUAUUCUUUCUAAAACUUACCUUUUUGGGGCGCCUGGGUGGCGCAGUCGGUUAAGCGUCCGACUUCA